GACGAACGCUGGCGGCGUGCUUAACACAUGCAAGUCGAACGGAAAGGCCCAGCUUGCUGGGUGCUCGAGUGGCGAACGGGUGAGUAACACGUGGGUGAUCUGCCCCUAACUUCGGGUUAAGCUUGGGAAACUGGGUCUAAUACCGGAUAGGACAGUCGUUUAGUGUCGGUUGUGGUAAGUUUUUUCGGUUAGGGAUGAGCCCGCGGCCUAUCAGCUUGUUGGUGGGGUAAUGGCCUACCAAGGCGUCGACGGGUAGCCGGCCUGAGAGGGUGGACGGCCACAUGGGGACUGAGAUACGGCCCAGACUCCUACGGGAGGCAGCAGUGGGGAAUAUUGCACAAUGGGCGCAAGCCUGAUGCAGCGACGCCGCGUGGGGGAUGACGGCCUUCGGGUUGUAAACCUCUUUCGACAGGGACGAAGCUUUGGUGACGGUACCUGUAGAAGAAGCACCGGCUAACUACGUG
rnacentral:rRNA from 1 species